rnacentral:rRNA from 1 species
AACGAACGCUGGCGGUAUGCCUAACACAUGCAAGUCGCACGAGAAAGUACUUCGGUAUGAGUAGAGUGGCGCACGGGUGAGUAACACGUAGGUGACGUUCCAAAUAGUGGGGGAUAACUCGAAGAAAUUCGGGCUAAUACCGCAUAUGUACGACGAACUUGAAUAUAGUCGUAGAAAGAAUGCCUCUACUUGUAAGCAUUCGCUAAUUGAUCGGCCUGCGUAGCAUUAGCUUGUUGGUGGGGUAAGUGGCCUACCAAGGCUACGAUGCUUAACGGAUCUGAGAGGAUGAUCCGUCACACUGGAACUGAGACACGGUCCAGACUCCUACGGGAGGCAGCAGUGGGGAAUAUUGCGCAAUGGGCGAAAGCCUGACGCAGCAAUACCGCGUGAGUGAGGAAGGCC